UAAAUGGCAGCACUUUUUAUCUGAGAGAGGCACUAGAUAAUCACUGACAUUAGAUAAUGGUUUAACAAUGAUGUUAGGGACCGGUCAUUUAUUAGAGAAGGGGGGGGUGGGCUGGUGGAUUUUCAUUUUCCUCAACAUAAUUUCAUAUGGCCCUGCUCCUGUCACUGCAUAAAAUAAUGUGCCCCCCCCCCCAAGGGAGUGCACAUGAAAUGGCAUGGCCCACCCUCAGUUUAUAAUUUUUUUUCCGGAACAAUAAAUUUUGGCGACCUCCCCCCCUCCCCCUCUCGCCAAAAAAAUUUCGGUCAGUGUACCAUUUUAGGGGUCCAAAAAUUUUUCGGACACACCUAAAUUUUUCGGAACAUCAAAUAAAUUUUCCCAAACAUUGCAAAAUUUACAUUAUUUCCCGCAAAAUUCGCAGAAUUUAUCCCAUUUAUUUUUAUAAUAACCCAAUAUUGCACGACUGUGAAGAGAAUAUUGCUCAACUAGCUUGGUUUGCCCGACUUUUGCCCCACUUUUGUUGAACAUUUGCCCGACUUUUCGACUUUGUAAUGCCUAUGCUUGUAGUUGUCACUACAUUGUUUUGUUUUCAUAUAAAUAUUAAAAAUUUGACUGUGGUUGAUCCCUUCAGUGCUGUUUUCUUUUGUAGAAUAUAUAGGAAAAUGGAAUGCACAAAAAUGUAUGACCCCAAAAAUGGUUGCAGAAUUUUAUGCAACCCCCCAUUUUCAAGUGCACAAAAAGGUAUGACCCC